UGGGGAAUAUUGGACAAUGGGCGCAAGCCUGAUCCAGCCACGCCGCGUGAGUGAUGAAGGCCUUCGGGUUGUAAAGCUCUGUGGGGAGAGGCGAAAACAGUCAGCAAGAAACGGCUGAUUCUUGACGGUAUCUCCUUAGCAAGCACCGGCUAACUCUGUGCCAGCAGCCGCGGUAAUACAGAGGGUGCGAACGUUGCUCGGAAUUACUGGGCGUAAAGCGCGUGUAGGCGGACCGGUAAGUCAGAUGUGA
rnacentral:rRNA from 1 species